rnacentral:rRNA from 1 species
GACGAAGGGGGCUAGCGUUGUUCGGAAUUACUGGGCGUAAAGCGCGUGUAGGCGGUUGCCAAAGUCGGGUGUGAAAGCCUUGAGCUCAACUCAAGAAAUGCACUCGAUACUUGGUGACUAGAGGACCGGAGAGGAUAGUGGAAUUCCCAGUGUAGUGGUGAAAUACGUAGAGAUUGGGAAGAACACCAGUGGCGAAGGCGGCUAUCUGGACGGUUUCUGACGCUAAGACGCGAAAGCGUGGGAGCAAACAGG